rnacentral:sRNA from 1 species
CACUUCGGUCCGAAGUCGAUGGGUUAUCUGCCUUUCCUUCUGCUUGCAGAAGGCCUCCGGUUUCCUUGUGAAACCAAAAACUGUUCAUCAAACGAACAAAUCGCGUUCCCAAAAGAAUGCAAAACCCUUCCCAUCGCACGGCCUCCAGCGAAGG